UAAGAGAUAAAAAUAAGAUCUUUGGGAUUUCUGUUAUCUAGUUUUACCUAAAUUACACAUAAUAUUUUAUCCAGAAAUAUAAAUUUAUAAUAUUUUUACAUAGCAAAUAUUACUCCUCUUUCUCACUUUCGGUCUCCAUUUUUCAGACUGUAUACCAAAAUGGCAGAAUUGCUUUCUAUCUCUAUCUCCAACCUUGAUAUAUAUAUACUGUAUUUGAAGCAAGGGCCAAAAGCAUAAAUUAUCAUUUUUUAAGGAGGAUUAAAAUAACAAUAUAAUCAUUUCAACCAAGGAGGCAAAAGCCCCUCCCCCUGCCUUAAAC
rnacentral:lncRNA from 1 species